rnacentral:rRNA from 1 species
CCUACGGGUGGCAGCAGUCGAGAAUCAUUCACAAUGGGGGAAACCCUGAUGGUGCGACGCCGCGUGGGGGAAUGAAGGUCUUCGGAUUGUAAACCCCUGUCAUGUGGGAGCAAAUUAAAAAGAUAGUACCACAAGAGGAAGAGACGGCUAACUCUGUGCCAGCAGCCGCGGUAAUACAGAGGUCUCAAGCGUUGUUCGGAAUCACUGGGCGUAAAGCGUGCGUAGGCUGUUGCGUAAGUCGUGUGUGAAAGGGGCGGGCUCAACCCGCGAACGGCACAUGAUACUGCGAGUCUUGAGUAAUGGAGGGGGAACCGGAAUUCGCGGUGUAGCAGUGAAAUGCGUAGAUAUCGAGAGGAACACUGGUGGCGAAGGCGGGUUCCUGGACAUUAACUGACGCUGAGGCACGAAGGCCAGGGGAGCGAAAGGGAUUAGAUACCCCAGUAGUC